UUGCUCUCUCAAUAGUAGUAGUACCAUCUUCAUAUUCCUUCCGGCUAGUUUUCCUUUUAUCUCUAGCUGUUCACUGUUGUGGGCUUGCCAAUUUCAAUUGAAACUGUAACGCAAGAAAAGCCAGCAAAAAACAAACAAAAAAUCAUGGAUGGAGCACCAGGGUACCAGGGGAUGUCUUACCAGGAGCACCUCCAAAGGCGUCGUGAAGAAAAAGGCGUGCUUUAUACUUGUUUGUUCGCAUUAUGUUGCUGUUUCUGCUGCUACGAGACCUGUGAAUGCUGCUUAGACGUUGUCUGCUGUUGCUGCACCUGAUUAUAUGGGAUACUUCAUCUCAUCUGAUGUUAAUAUACUGAAUAAAACGUUUUGGUACAAUGAAUAACCGUUUUAUAUGGGAUACCCCUCAGAAGAGGGGACGGUGGAGUUUGGCACUUAUCGCUUGUGUAUGGUGACUUGCUCUCUCUAUGGAUUAGUAUUUUACAGCUG